rnacentral:lncRNA from 1 species
AUGAUUUUAAGAAUGAUUUCUUUUACAGUUAAAUUAAGCCACAAUGAUCAAAGGGAAAAGAUGAAAGACAUUUCCCGAGAAUGUGCUCUGAAAGCCAUUGAACAGAAAAACUUACUUUCUUUACAAAGAAGAGAUUUAGAAAAGGGACAAAGGAAAGAUGUAGGCCGACAUAAAGAUUUAGUUGACGAAAACCUCCCACAUUUCAAGUCUGGAUCACCUCCUGCCCCAAAUAGCUUUAGACAAUAUGAGAAUCCACAUCUAUAUCACAGUCAAGGAAGAGGACCCUAUAAAUAUGACCGAAUUUCCCAUCAGAGUCAAGCUUCUGGACAAGUAACAACUUCAGGCAAAUCUCAGAUUCUUGUUCCAGGAGAGAAAAUAACAGGCAAAGUUAAGAAUGACAUUGGCACUGGAUAUGAUACAGACAGUAGCCAAGAUUCUAGGGAUAAAGGAAGUGGCUGUAACAGCAACAGUAAAAGCCGGAACCGAGGUUGGAAACCUAUGAGAGAAACAUUAAAUGUCGAUAGUGUUUUUAGUGAAAGUGAAAAAAGGCAACAUAGUCCAAGACAUAAGUCAAAUGGCAGUAACAAACCUAAAGGAAGGAAGGAUCAGAGUUUUAGUAACUGGCCAAAAGAGAAUCCAAGGCAGAAAGGUUUAAUAACCAUAUAUGAAGAUGAAAUGAAACAGGAAAUAGGAAGCAGAAGUUCCCUUGAAUCUAAUGGAAAAGGAGCAGAGAAAAAUAAAGGCGUCAUAGAGAGUAAAGUUCAGGGUGAAAACUGGCAGAUGCAGAGGACCGAAUCUGGAUAUGAAAGCAGUGAUCACAUCAGUAAUGGAUCUGCCAGUUUGGACUCACCUGUUAUUGAUGGAAAUGAUACAGUAACGGAUGUCUGUGGUGAUAAAGAACUGGUAUCUUUCAGGUAAUACACAAAUUGAAUGAAUGAUUUUCUCCUCACAUUCCUCUCUAUUUGAAUUUUCAAAGUUUGGGGUCAACCAUAGAAAAGAUUAUUAAAGAAACCUAAGCUAUCACAGUUUUUAGUUAUUUCCUGACUUCAAAAAUAACAUCUAUUUAUUUUUAGGAAAUUUGGAAAGUAAGAAGUCCAUGGCCAUUGUUUCUGUCACUGUCAAUUAUUGAUUUCUACUACAGGUUUUUAAAGUAUAGACUUAAAUUGGCUUCACCUCUGUUAAUAAGCUGAUUGUUUAAUUCUUCAAUCUGUAUGAACCUCAUUAUCUCAUUGCUAUCAUUUUAACUCUGAACUGGAGCUGUUUUCUGCUGUUACAAUCCAGUGCCCUGGAAGAGAUAUUUUCCCUUUAGCAAAUAUUUAAA